rnacentral:rRNA from 1 species
CUGCGAAUGGCUCAUUAUAUCAGUUAUCGUUUAUUUGAUAGUACCUUACUACAUGGGAUAACCGUGGUAAUUCUAGAGCUAAUACAUGCUAAAAACCUCGACUUCGGAAGGGGUGUAUUUAUUAGAUAAAAAACCAAUGCCCUCCGGGGCUCCUUGGUGAUUCAUAAUAACUUAACGAAUCGCAUGGCCUUGCGCUGGCGAUGGUUCAUUCAAAUUUCUGCCCUAUCAACUUUCGAUGGUACUUUAGUGGACUACCAUGGUUUCUACGGGUAACGGGGAAUUAGGGUUCGACUCCGGAGAGGGAGCCUGAGAAACGGCUACCACAUCCAAGGAAGGCAGCAGGCGCGCAAAUUACCCAAUCCCGAUUCGGGGAGGUAGUGACAAUAAAUACUGAUAGGGAGCUCUUUUGGGUUUCCUAAUCGGAAUGAGUACAAUUUAAAUCCCUUAACGAGGAACAAUUGGAGGGCAAGUCUGGUG